AUGCUCAACCCAAAAACAAGACGCACACACAUUGAUUGUGUGUGCUUGUACAUGAAUCUAUUCGGAGAAACAAGACGAGAAAGGGAAACAGUUGGAAGAAAGGGGAAGGAAGCGCUGGUGUGUUGUUUCUGUUCUUUUCGAAUGGAACAUCGAAGAUGGUGACCAUGUCGACCAGACCAGUGGCCGACAGAAUCAAUGGAGGUGGGUGGUGGGGCUACAAUGAUCGAUUAAGCAUAAAACAACCCUAAUGAUUUCAAUUUCAGCAACUUCUUCAUAUUAAGGUGUGAUACAAUGUUAAAUAGCAUGGAAAGUGGAUUGAGAUUUGAUGCUACCUAAUCUCCCCAGGUUACCAUUAAGGAGAGAGGAUGAUAGAUGGAAGUUAGAAGUCAAGUUAUAGAGAAUGGAGUGGAACUUGAUAAGUUCCUUAUUAUUUUAUAUUGAUGUAAUUCUUAUUUACUUGCUAUGGAUUUAUUGAUGCUUAAUGGUAACACCCAAUGUUUUAAUUUAUAAAGGUUUUUGUGGGACCGAUUUUUGUUAAAUGUGGGUUAAUACCCGAAUGUAUUUAAAACCAUAGCAUUUUAAAGUUUAAAAAUUUUUGGGUGUUACAAACCUCCCAUACAUGGGAUUUUCGGCCAUGUCUCAAAAAGAAGAGAAAAAUGUUGUCUUCUAGUUUUUUCAACAAAAUAAGACCAACUAACGUGUUAAUUC